CAAUAGCGUAUAUUAAAGUUGUUGCGGUUAAAAAGCUCGUAGUUGGAUUUCUGCCGAGGACGACCGGUCCGCCCUCUGGGUGAGUAUCUGGCUCGGCCUGGGCAUCUUCUUGGAGAACGUAGCUGCACUUGACUGUGUGGUGCGGCAUCCAGGACUUUUACUUUGAGGAAAUUAGAGUGUUUCAAGCAGGCUUACGCCUUGAAUACAUUAGCAUGGAAUAAUAAGAUAGGACCUCGGUUCUAUUUUGUUGGUUUCUAGAGCUGAGGUAAUGAUUAAUAGGGAUAGUUGGGGGCAUUCGUAUUUAACUGUCAGAGGUGAAAUUCUUGGAUUUGUUAAAGACGAACUUCUGCGAAAGCAUUUGUCAAGGAUGUUUUCAUUAA
rnacentral:rRNA from 1 species